rnacentral:rRNA from 1 species
CAAGCAGCGGAGCGUGUGGUUUAAUUCGUUGCUACACGAAGAACCUUAACCUGGGUUUGACAUAUAGGUUGUAGGGAACUGAAAAGGGACCGACCUUCGGGAGCCUAUACAGGUGUUGCAUGGCUGUCGUCAGCUCGUGUCGUGAGAUGUUCGGUUAAGUCCGCUAACGAGCGCAACCCUCGUCGUAUGUUAUAUGUGUCAUACGAGACUGCCGGUAAAAGCCGGAGGAAGGUGAGGAUGAUGUCAAGUCAGCAUGACCUUUAUAUCUAGGGCUACACACACGCUACAAUGGUCUGUACAAUGGGUAGCCAAGCCGCGAGGCGGAGCCAAUCCUGAAAGCAGGCCUCAGUUCAGAUUGCAGUCUGCAACUCGACUGCAUGGAAGCCGGAGUUGCCAGUAACCGCAGGUCAGCAAUACUGCGGUGAAUACGUUCCCGGGUCUU